UAACGCAUAGGAAUCUACCCAGUCGUGGGGGAUAACCUGAGGAAACUCAGGCUAAUACCGCAUACGUCCUACGGGAGAAAGCGGGGGCUCUUCGGACCUCGCGCGAUUGGAUGAGCCUAUGUCGGAUUAGCUAGUUGGUAAGGUAAUGGCUUACCAAGGCAACGAUCCGUAGCUGGUCUGAGAGGAUGAUCAGCCACACCGGGACUGAGACACGGCCCGGACUCCUACGGGAGGCAGCAGUGGGGAAUAUUGGACAAUGGGCGAAAGCCUGAUCCAGCCAUGCCGCGUGUGUGAAGAAGGCUUUCGGGUUGUAAAGCACUUUCAGCGAGGAAGAAAGCGUGCCGUUUAAUACACGGUACGGACGACAUCACUCGCAGAAGAAGCACCGGCUAACUCCGUGCCAGCAGCCGCGGUAAUACGGAGGGUGCAAGCGUUAAUCGGAAUUACUGGGCGUAAAGCGCGCGUAGGCGGCGUGUCACGCCGGGUGUGAAAGCCCCGGGCUCAACCUGGGAACGGCAUCCGGAACGGGCAGGCUAGAGUGCAGGAGAGGAAGGUAGAAU
rnacentral:rRNA from 1 species